GUGCCAGCCGCCGCGGUAAUACGGAGGGUGCAAGCGUUGCUCGGAAUUACUGGGCGUAAAGCGUACGCAGGCCGUUCUGUAAGUCGGGUGUGAAAGCCCGGGGCUCAACCCCGGAAUUGCGCCCGAGACUGCAGGGCUUGAAUGCGGAAGAGGGAAGCGGAAUUCCUGGUGUAGAGGUGAAAUUCGUAGAUAUCAGGAGGAACACCGGUGGCGAAAGCGGCUUCCUGGUCCGACAUUGACGCUCAUGUACGAGAGCGUGGGGAGCAAACAGGAUUAGAUACCCUGGUAGUCCACGCUGUAAACGAUGAGUGCUAGCUGCUGGGAAUGUUUACCGUCUCAGUGGCGAAGCUAACGCAUUAAGCACUCCGCCUGGGAAGUACGGCCGCAAGGCUAAA
rnacentral:rRNA from 1 species